rnacentral:misc_RNA from 1 species
GUGGGAGGGGGCUUGCCCCCGAUAGCGGUGGAUCAGUCAGUAAAUAGGUAACUGACCCACUGCAAUCGGGGGCAAGCCCCCUCCCAC